rnacentral:rRNA from 1 species
UGGGGAAUCUUGCACAAUGGGCGAAAGCCUGAUGCAGCAACGCCGCGUGCGGGAAGAAGGCCCUAGGGUUGUAAACCGCUUUCAGCAGGGAAGAAAAUGACGGUACCUGUAGAAGAAGGUGCGGCCAACUACGUGCCAGCAGCCGCGGUGACACGUAGGCACCAAGCGUUGUCCGGAUUUAUUGGGCGUAAAGAGCUUGUAGGCGGUUCGGUUAGUCGGGUGUGAAACCUCUGGGCUCAACUCAGAGACGCCACCCGAUACUGCUGUGACUAGAGUGCGGUAGGGGAGCGGGGAAUUCCUGGUGUAGCGGUGAAAUGCGCAGAUAUCAGGAGGAACACCAGUGGCGAAGGCGCCGCUCUGGGCCGUAACUGACGCUGAGAAGCGAAAGCGUGGGGAGCAAACA